CUGUUUUGAAUUAUAAAUUUACAUCAAAGUAUACUACUAUUUGUGUAAUGUUAUUACUGAAAAUGAACUUAUGGAAGUAUCCAUUUAUUUCCCGAAAAUCGAAGGGAAAUUAAGGAAUUAGCGGAAAGCGGAAUUAAUCGCUAUUACUUCUAAAAGAGGUAUAAAGGGAAGCGUAUAAAAGGGAGAAUAUUUUUCAUUUAAUUUAGGCUGACAUUGAUCCAUCUUUAUCGCUGGUUACCCUCGGUUUGCUGUCUUUUGGACACGCCUUCCUGACGCUUGGCUUGCCAGAAACGUUGAACCAGGAAUUACCAGAAACCCUACAGGAGGGUAACGACUUCGGCAAGGAACAAAGUUUCUGGUGGGUUCCGUGUAUAUCCUCGAGCAAAAUGCUGAAAAAAUCUUAUAGAAAGAAGAAAGGCCUUUCAAAUCCAGCGUUUACUGGCAGUGUUCAAAAAAUGGAUUGUACUAGGUUAUAGUGGUUAGAUUUGGCGACGGCGCGAAACUUGCCAGUAGGGUAAAACUUACCAGUGGCAUGAAACUUGUCAAUGGCAUGAAACUUGUCAAUGACAUGAAACUUGUCAGUGACAUGAAAUUGCCAGUGGCGUGAAACUUGCCAAAUUUGUUGUAAAUAUAGUUAUUAAACGUGUGCGUGUGAUGUUAGAUGUUAAGAUAUUACGAACGUAUUGAGAUUGGAGAGCUAUUGAGAGAAACUAGGAGGAAGUAUCGAUUAUUGCAGUGAAAGAGACAAGAAUCGUCAAAUUACACAAAGUAUACGUUUAAGCAAUUAAUUGACGCUUCAUCGAUGAAGUAGCUUUGUUGCACACAAGAUAAUUUUCUUUAAAGUGUAUCUUUUUUCAAUUGGAAUGACUGUAUAAAAAUGUGAAGAAAUUUAAAGAAUUAAGAACGCGGCAUUUAAAGUACGUUGCGUUCACAUAUUGCGAUGUAAUUAUUUCGCGUACUAUAACGUCGGUAAAGUGUUGGAAAUGAGAAACGAUUCAAGUAUCUUAUGUAAAUGUACAAUUAAAUUCAGUAUUGGAUAUAUGUAUUAAAGGAAGCGAUAUAUAAGGAAAUAAUA